ACGCUCGACACCUACGGGCAGCAGUAGGGAAUCUUCCACAAUGGACGCAAGUCUGAUGGAGCAACGCCGCGUGAGUGAAGAAGGUCUUCGGAUCGUAAAACUCUGUUGUUAGAGAAGAACACGAGUGAGAGUAACUGUUCAUUCGAUGACGGUAUCUAACCAGCAAGUCACGGCUAACUACGUGCCAGCAGCCGCGGUAAUCUGAGGCGGGCGUGGCGAAGGC
rnacentral:rRNA from 1 species